ACGCUCGACACCUACGGGAGGUAGCAGUAGGGAAUCUUCCACAAUGGACGCAAGUCUGAUGGAGCAACGCCGCGUGAGCGAAGAAGGUCUUCGGAUCGUAAAACUCUGUUGUUAGAGAAGAACACGAGUGAGAGUAACUGUUCAUUCGAUGACGGUAUCUAACCAGCAAGUCACGGCUAACUACGUGCCCGCAGCCGCGGUAAUCUGAGCGGGCGUGGCAAGGC
rnacentral:rRNA from 1 species